CUCUUUAGGCGUCGCUCUCUUGGUGUGCUUGUUCUUGACCCGGUCGAUAAUUCCAGGUACUUUGUUGAUGGAGGUACGUUCACUCUGAGGCUGGCUUAGUGCUUUUCGUGUGUUUUCUGUUCCAUGUGAAAGAAGAGAAUCUACUCGGGCACCUACUGAAUAGUUACUUGACUAUAUACAGCCUGCUAAAAUUUUGGCUAUGUUAGGGCCUCGGCCAUUAGAAGCUGGGGCAAGCUUUUCUGCCUACUUAACUCUGUUUGGUAAAUACAUUUCUUUUGACAGGUUAUGUCUAGAUUUGAGAACCUUCAGCAUGGUUCUCAUUUUUUGAGGUCUCAACAGGUUUCCCCAGACCAUAUAUAAACCAUGUAUAAGUCAUUUUUCUGUUUCCACAGUCUCUGUAAGAUUAUAGUCAUAAGUUCAAAUCUGAAUUAAAGCAGAAUGUCUUUUUUGGAUCUGAAUGUC
ensembl:processed_transcript